rnacentral:rRNA from 1 species
UACAGAGGGUGCGAGCGUUGUCCGGAAUCACUGGGCGUAAAGGGCGCGUAGGUGGUGGCUUAAGCGUGCGGUGAAAGCUCGGGGCUCAACCCCGAGUCGGCCGUGCGAACUGGGCUCACUGGAGCAUAGUAGAGGCAGGUGGAAUUCCGGGUGUAGCGGUGGAAUGCGUAGAGAUCCGGAAGAACACCGGUGGCGAAGGCGGGAUCCUGGGCCAGUACUGACGCUGAGGAGCGAAAGCGUGGGGAGCAAACAGG